rnacentral:rRNA from 1 species
CCUACGGGAGGCAGCAGUGGGGAAUAUUGGACAAUGGGCGCAAGCCUGAUCCAGCCAUGCCGCGUGUGUGAAGAAGGCCUUCGGGUUGUAAAGCACUUUUGUUGGGGAAGAAAAGCACUCAAUUAAUACCUGGGUGUUCUGACGGUACCCAAAGAAUAAGCACCGGCUAACUUCGUGCCAGCAGCCGCGGUAAU